AAGACUCUUGCUUUCGUUUUGAAAGUCGCUAACUUUAGGCGUCUAUAUCGAAUUUCGCAUAUGGAUUAUCAUGUUCUGCUGUAUCUUCUGGUUUUUGUAGUCAUAUAUAUGGACAAAUGAAACCGUUUAUGACUGUGUAGUGUUACUCUUGACUUUGUGCUUCCACAUCUUAGAUUCACAUUGAUGUCAUCUUCAUACUUCCUUUUGUUUCGGCUUAGUGGCCCUUCUAGAUUCGACUGGGAUCGUGAUGCUAAUGCAUGGAUUUACCGGAGAACCGAAGCAAAGUUGCAUAAACUCCUGGAAG
rnacentral:lncRNA from 1 species